rnacentral:rRNA from 1 species
UACGUAGGGGGCAAGCGUUGUCCGGAUUCAUUGGGCGUAAAGAGCGUGUAGGCGGCCAGGUAGGUCGGUUGUGAAAACUGGAGGCUCAACCUUCAGAGGUCGACCGAAACCAUCUGGCUAGAGUCCGGGAGAGGCGAGUGGAAUUCCUGGUGUAGCGGUGAAAUGCGCAGAUAUCAGGAGGAACACCUAUUGCGAAGGCAGGUCACUGGGCCGCAACUGACGCUGAGGAGCGAAAGCAUGGGGAGCGAACAGG